UGUAACACAUCUUUACAGAGUUAAAGCUAUAUUCUGCAGCAUAAACAAAGGUAACACAUCUUUUCCCAGUUAAAAUAAUAUUCCACAACAAUGGCUCCCAAAGGGAGUGACACUAUUAGGAAGUGUGGCCUUGUUGCAGGAAGUGUGUCACUUUUGCUCAAGCUUCCCUCAGUGUGAUUGCCAGUUGACUUCCUGUUCCCUGUAAGCCAAGAUGUAGCACUUAUAGCUCCAGCACCACAUCUGCCUAAAUGCCACCAUGCUCCCCAUCAUGAUGAUAGUAGACUGAACCUCUAAAACUUUUUACUGUGUUGGGAUGUGUGAGCAGGAUAAGCCAUGAUGGCAUCAGACUCUCUAGAGAAAGAUUGAUCACCUCUUCAAUGUUCCUUCCCUGCUGCUGCUGAUACCUGAAGGGAUCCCACAACAACUGGCACUUGGAGACUUGAAGUUCACUGAUUAGUCAAAACUGGCUGGCCAACAAGUCCCCAGGAAUCCACCUGUCUUUGCUUACCUGCUGCUGGAACAGCAACAAGAGUCACCAAGUCCUGUUUUUUGAAUGCAUGUUUGGGUUUAACUCACAUCCUCAUGCCAUCUGCUCAGCCCCUUUGUUCUGCUUUUUGUUUUCUUGUUAGCUUGGGCAGAUCUGUAUACAGGGACUGAGAUGUCCCACUAGAAGAUAAAAGUGUUAAUUGAUCUCAGCGGUCUGGGUACAUGGAAAGUGAAGGGGCCAGCUCCCCAUUUCGGCAGCCAGGACAGUAACACAGGCUUGCCUUGGUCACUAAGAGGUCAGAUGUCUGCCUCGUGGCAAGGAACCAAUCAGAAGUUAGCUGGUGGUGCUAUGCUUUACGGCUCUGGGUGUGCUUCACAGACAAGUGCACAACAAUGACGCACAGAGCAUAGCAACCACCCUGGGAGGGCCUAUGGGCCAUAACAACCAGUUGACCAAUCAACACAGGGCAAGCCCUCCAAGCCUGGAGCCACACCAAUCCUGAGCCUGUGCGUACCCCUAGACACUCCUCUUACGCUGCCCUACAAGAUCUCUAUGCAGCCAGUUUGAGCUGCCAUGGCGGGUGAAUGAAAGACCCGAGCUAACAUGGGGUUAGCUCGUUAAACAACAAUAAAGCCUCGUGAAGUUUGCAUCAAGCUUUCGAAUCUGCCUGGUGAUUGGGG
rnacentral:lncRNA from 1 species